CGGGUGUGCAAUACAUAAGUAACCUGCCCUAGACAGGGGGAUAACUAUUGGAAACGAUAGCUAAGACCGCAUAGGUACGGACACUGCAUGGUGACCGUAUUAAAAGUGCCUCAAAGCACUGGUAGAGGAUGGACUUAUGGCGCAUUAGCUGGUUGGCGGGGUAACGGCCCACCAAGGCGACGAUGCGUAGCCGACCUGAGAGGGUGACCGGCCACACUGGGACUGAGACACGGCCCAGACUCCUACGGGAGGCAGCAGUAGGGAAUUUUCGGCAAUGGGGGAAACCCUGACCGAGCAACGCCGCGUGAAGGAAGAAGGUUUUCGGAUUGUAAACUUCUGUUAUAAAGGAAGAACGGCGGCUACAGGAAAUGGUAGCCGAGUGACGGUACUUUAUUAGAAAGCCACGGCUAACUACGUGCCAGCAGCCGCGGUAAUACGUAGGUGGCAAGCGUUAUCCGGAAUUAUUGGGCGUAAAGAGGGAGCAGGCGGCAGCAAGGGUCUGUGGUGAAAGCCUGAAGCUUAACUUCAGUAAGCCAUAGAAACCAGGCAGCUAGAGUGCAGGAGAGGAUCGUGGAAUUCCAUGUGUAGCGGUGAAAUGCGUAGAUAUAUGGAGGAACACCAGUGGCGAAGGCGACGAUCUGGCCUGCAACUGACGCUCAGUCCCGAAAGCGUGGGGAGCAAAUAGGAUUAGAUACCCUAGUAGUCCACGCCGUAAACGAUGAGUACUAAGUGUUGGAUGUCAAAGUUCAGUGCUGCAGUUA
rnacentral:rRNA from 1 species